rnacentral:rRNA from 1 species
UACAGAGGUCUCGAGCGUUAGGCGGAAUCACUGGGCUUAAAGGGUGCGUAGGUGGAAUGACAAGUCAGUGGUGAAAACCUGCAGCUUAACUGUAGAACUGCCAUUGAUACUGUUAUUCUUGAGUACAUUUGAUGUGAGUGGAAUGUGUCGUGUAGCGGUGAAAUGCUUAGAUAUGACACAGAACACCAAUUGCGAAGGCAGCUCACAAAACUGUAACUGACACUGAGGCACGAAAGCGUGGGGAUCAAACAGG